rnacentral:rRNA from 1 species
UACGAAGGGGGCUAGCGUUGCUCGGAAUGACUGGGCGUAAAGGGCGCGUAGGCGGCGGUCACAGUCAGAUGUGAAAUUCCUGGGCUUAACCUGGGGGCUGCAUUUGAUACGUGGUUGCUUGAGUGGGGAAGAGGGUCGUGGAAUUCCCAGUGUAGAGGUGAAAUUCGUAGAUAUUGGGAAGAACACCGGUGGCGAAGGCGGCGACCUGGUCCUUGACUGACGCUGAGGCGCGAAAGCGUGGGGAGCAAACAGGAUUAGAUACCCUGGUAGUCCACGCUGUAAACGAUGUGCGCUGGAUGUUGGGCGGCUUAGCCGUUCAGUGUCGGAGUUAACGCGUUAAGCGCACCGCCUGGGGAGUACGGCCGCAAGGUUGAA